AUUGAACGCUGGCGGCAGGCCUAACACAUGCAAGUCGAGCGGAGUGGGGACGGGUGAGUAACACGUGGGUAACCUCCCAUCAGAGGGGAUAACACUUGGAAACAGGUGCUAAACCGAUACUGAUGGAUGGAUCCGCGGUGCAUUAGCUAGUUGUUGAGGUAACAGAUCACCAAGGCCACGAUGCAUAGCCGACCUGAGAGGGUGAUCGGCCACACUGGGACUGAGACACGGCCCAGACUCCUACGGGAGGCAGCAGUAGGGAAUCUUCGGCAAUGGACGAAAGUCUGACCGAGAAACGCCGCGUGUGUGAAGAAUUUUAUCAGAUCGUAAAACUCUGGUGUUAGGGAAGCGGUAUCUAACCAGAAAGCCACGGCUAACUACGUGGCAGCAGCCGCAGUAAUAC
rnacentral:rRNA from 1 species